rnacentral:rRNA from 1 species
GGGAUAACAUUCUGAAAAGAAUGCUAAUACCGCAUGACAUAUCGGAACCACAUGGUUCUGAUAUCAAAGAUUUUAUCGCUUGAAGAUGGACUCGCGUCCGAUUAGUUAGUUGGUGAGGUAACGGCUCACCAAGACCGCGAUCGGUAGCCGGACUGAGAGGUUGAACGGCCACAUUGGGACUGAGACACGGCCCAGACUCCUACGGGAGGCAGCAGUGGGGGAUAUUGCGCAAUGGGGGCAACCCUGACGCAGCAACGCCGCGUGAAGGGUGAAGGUUUUCGGAUUGUAAACUUCUUUUAUUAAGGACGAAAAAUGACGGUACUUAAUGAAUAAGCUCCGGCUAACUACGUGCCAGCAGCCGCGGUAAUACGUAGGGAGCAAGCGUUGUCCGGAUUUACUGGGUGUAAAGGGUGCGUAGGCGGCUUUGCAAGUCAGAUGUGAAAUCUAUGGGCUCAACCCAUAAACUGCAUUUGAAACUGUAGAGCUUGAGUGAAGUAGAGGCAGGCGGAAUUCCCCGUGUAGCGGUGAAAUGCGUAGAGAUGGGGAGGAACACCAGUGGCGAAGGCGGCCUGCUGGGCUUUAACUGACGCUGAGGCACGAAAGCGUGGGUAGCAAACAGGAUUAGAUACCCUGGUAGUCCACGCUGUAAACGAUGAUUACUAGGUGUGGGGGGUCUGACCCCUUCCGUGCCGGAG